AAUAGAUACCCGGGUAGUCCACGCCGUAAACGAUGAGUGCUAAGUGUUAGGGGGUUUCCGCCCCUUAGUGCUGCAGCUAACGCAUUAAGCACUCCGCCUGGGGAGUACGGUCGCAAGACUGAAACUCAAAGGAAUUGACGGGGGCCCGCACAAGCGGUGGAGCAUGUGGUUUAAUUCGAAGCAACGCGAAGAACCUUACCAGGUCUUGACAUCCCGCUGACCGCUAUGGAGACAUAGCUUUCCCUUCGGGGACAGCGGUGACAGGUGGUGCAUGGUUGUCGUCAGCUCGUGUCGUGAGAUGUUGGGUUAAGUCCCGCAACGAGCGCAACCCUUGUCCUUAGUUGCCAUCAUUCAGUUGGGCACUCUAAGGAGACUGCCGUACAAAUACGGAGGAAGGUGGGGAUGACGUCAAAUCAUCAUGCCCCUUAUGACCUGGGCUACACACGUGCUACAAUGGACGGUACAAACGGUUGCGAAGUCGCGAGACGGAGCCAAUCCGAGAAAGCCGUUCUCAGUUCGGAUUGCAGGCUGCAACCG
rnacentral:rRNA from 1 species